AUUCCACACACUUUUUCGUCACCGUAUGCACGCAGAUUUCCUCCCGAAAACGCUCGUCUAAACGCGGAAUAAAAAGUGAAGACGCGACGCCACUUUUGCGUUUUCUGUUCAGGCCGUCAUCAUGUAAACGUAGCCUAUAAAUGCGCAGACUUUCCCGUAUCCCACUCUUUGCGCUCCUGUCCAACGCGUCACUUCCGGUCGGAGUGUUUGGCUCUCGGUGAGUAGGACCGUGCGCUGCUUCACGUCUCUGAAGCUCAUGCACCUGUGUGCUAGUUAUAGCCUUUUCUUGUUGUAGUGCAGAGCGGCUGGGCUUGUGCGCCACGCUCAAAGUGCGCAGUCUCUUCAGCUUGCGGCCGUGAAUGCCGGUAGCAGCGCGAGUCUCCCGCUCUCUCCCCCUAUGUGUUGUGCGGGCAUCAUACUCGGCAACCAGUGCCGAGGCCGGUGGUGGUGCAGGUGACCGGGGUGGAGGUGUCCGAUUUUCCUGCGUGCUGUGUUCCCUGGGAUUUGGGUAUUCAGUGUGUGUGUGUGUGUGUGUGUGUGUGUGUGCUGUGUA